rnacentral:pre_miRNA from 1 species
AUGAUACUCCCUCUGUCCCAAAAUUCUUGUCUUGAAUUUAUCUAAAUACGGAUGUAUCAAGUCACGUUUUAGUAUUAGAUACAUCUGUAUCUAGGCAAAUCUAAGACAAGAAUUUUGGGACGGAGGGAGUAAUUA